AACGGCGGCUCGAGUGGUGGCCACUAAUACUGGGCUUAAAGCGUUCGUAGCUGGCUUUUUCCUUCUCAUGGUAAAUCUUCCGGCUCAACCGGAAGGCGUCUCAGGGAUACUGGCAGGCUAGGGACCGGAAGAGGUGAGAGGUACUCCAGGGGUAGGAGUGAAAUCCUGUAAUCCUUGGGGGACCACCUGUGGCGAAGGCGUCUCACCAGGACGGCUCCGACAGUGAGGAACGAAAGCUGGGGGAGCAAACCG
rnacentral:rRNA from 1 species